AUUCAUAAAUAAGAAACCUGGAAGACCUUAAUGAUGCUGUUAGGUCAAAGAAACAACUUUAAGAGGUUUGUGAUCAUGAUAGUCACCCUGGUUGUGGUUUUAGACAACUUUUUGCCUCCCAUUAAUUUAGCUAUUGAACUAAAACUGUACUAAAGAAAAGUGUCAACAAUAUAAAGAGAUAUCGAAAGACCUUUAAUGAAUGUAUGAAGAAGAAAUGUCAGGCACUCUGAACUAGCAUCUACAGGUCCUUCACAGAAUCCUAUGACAGCCCUAUUAUGACUUAGUC